UUUGACUCUUGACUUUGUAGUUCACUGGUUUGUAAAGUGAGGAGUAGAGGUCAAGGUGUUGGGCAACUAGAGGGUGAUGGUGCCAUUUGCAGAGAUGGGGAAUGUAGGUAAAGAGUUAGGAUGUGGGGUAGGGCUGUGAGUUAGGACUGAUGUUAAGGUAUCCAGAAGACAUCCAAGAAGAGAUAGAUGUCCAAUGAGCAGGAAAAUAUGGGGCUCUAGGGCAGACAUGGGAGUCUAGACUAAAGCUGUGGAUUAGCCAACCCUCAGCCUACCCAUGGUAACUGAAGCUGUGACAAUAAAUGUGGUUAGCAGAGAGAAAUAUGUGGAGUGAAAGGGAAGUGGGACCCAAGAAAGGAACAUCAAUAUGUAGACACAGGCAUAGAAAAGGAUUCCCAAAAGAGAAGACAUAGCCAGGGAGAAGGAGUUAGAUCAAAGCAUGUGGCAUCCUGAAAGCAAAACUGAGAGCCUUUCUAGAAGAUAGAGAUGCUUAAAGGUAUAAAAUGAGGCCAGAGCUUGCAUGUGGGCUGUAAAUAACCCCCAUCCUCUGGAAUUCAUUUGUAUUCUCAAUAUGCAUGGAUGAUAUUAACUUUUUUUUUUUUUGUCUGAAAGAGGAAAAAUAAAAAGUACUAUGUAAGGUGAUGUAUGUUGUUAACUAAGCCUUUUUGCAGUAAUCAUUUUGCAAUAUAUACAUGUGUCAAAUCAUCACUUUAUACACCUUACACUUACACAAUAUUAUUUGUCAGUUAUAUCUCAAGGAAAAGACAUUGUCGUUUGGAUGUAUGGAAGAGAUGGAGAAAGAUGAAGAAAAUGGAGACCCUGAGAGGUUCAGGAAGAAGUACUUGCUGGGGAGAAAGAAAGCUUCUGGAAGAAGAGAACAUUAUACAUUCAUGAGAAAGAGGUGAUAAAGGCUAAUAAUUUUGCAACAUCCAAUGUCAGCAAAUGCAUAGAAUACAGAGAGAUACAUAGAAAACACAGAGUCUGCUCGACUUAUAACAGGAAAGGAUUUUAAAACUUUUAAUAAGGCCACGUGUUCAUUAAGUACAAAGUGACAUUACUAUGCAAGUCUCCAUUAACUGCAUCCUUUGGUGACUGGGAGAGGCAAUGAGUUUUCUAUCCUGAGUUAAUUUUUCGCCUUAUUGGUGAAUGUCCACAAAUGAGGAGAUUUCUAUACAUAUCAUACAUACCAUUAACAGUGGUUACUCGGAAGGGUAGGAUUAUUACAUUUUCUACUGCACUUCCGCACCCAUGUGUUUUUUUUUUAAAUAAGAUGUUUCAUUAUUUUUAUAAUCAGAAAUAUUGUCAGAAAGCAGAUUUUAUAUCAUACCUGGGUCUCCAGCCAUCUCAUGAUCCUGGAGAUUUUCUCACUUGAAAAGGGUAAAACAGCUUUAUCAAGAAAAGAUGAAACAAAGUUUACCUUUACCGUGUUGAUACUCAGCAGAUACAGGUGAGCACCUUGCGAGUGUGUAUUUGGAAUUGAACUGAACUAACCUGUUUUGUAACAAGUUUCUUUUAAUAAGCUUCUGACAGAAACCUGUGAUGACUGGGGCUGUGUGGGCACACAGACGGCCCUUCUCCGAGGCGGUUCCCCCCCAACCCCCGCACCUGCGAGGACUUCAGCUCAUCCAUGCACAGGUCAGGGCUGGUUGCUAACAGGGAUGGGAACAUUUCAGUAACAUUCCAAACUGCUAAUUAACAUGGUUCUGCCAUGAGACAGUUAGUGCAUAUAAGCUCACUUCAAGCAGGGACUGUGCUGAAUUUGCUCUUUGUAUUUCCAACUCCUUCAAAUUGAAAUUUUCAACAUUCUCUUGUAAGUAACAAAAUUGGUUCCGUUAUCUCGUUUCUUUAUCAGAAGUCCAGACAUUGUCUCAUUCAUAGAGUGACUAGCCUUCUUUCAAGAAUCACUGUUAUUUCCAUGGCAUUUGUAAGAUAUAUUUUAUGUACAUGUAUUUUUUGGAGGUGUUUUUUUUUAAACAUUCUUUUUUAAUUAAUUUAUUUAUUUAUAUUUUUUUAAAUUUAAG
rnacentral:lncRNA from 1 species